rnacentral:rRNA from 1 species
CCUACGGGAGGCAGCAGUGAGGAAUAUUGGUCAAUGGACGAGAGUCUGAACCAGCCAAGUAGCGUGAAGGAUGACUGCCCUAUGGGUUGUAGACUUCUUUUAUAAAGCAAUAAAACGAGGCACGUAUGCCUUUUUGCAUGUACUUUAUGAAUAAGGAUCGGCUAACUCCGUGCCAGCAGCCGCGGUAAUACGGAGGAUGCGAGCGUUAUCCGGAUUUAUUGGGUUUAAAGGGUGCGUAGAUGGGUUGUUAAGUCAGUUGUGAAAGGUUGAGGCUCAACCGGAAAAUUGCAAUUGAUACUUGCAGUCUGGAGUACAGUAGAGGUAGGGGGAAUUCGUGGUGUAGCGGUGAAAUGCUUAGAUAUCACGAAGAACCUCGAUGGCGAAGGCAGCUUACUAAACUGUGACUGACGUUGAUGAUCGAAAGUGUGGGUAGCAAAUAGGAUUAGAUACCCUUGUAGUC